rnacentral:lncRNA from 1 species
GCCAUGAGGGCGGGAACCCUCGUACGCGGAAGUUCAUGAGGGCGGGACCCUCGUACGCGGAAGGUCAUGAGGGCGGGACCCUCGUACGCGGAAGUUCAUGCGGGCGGGACCCUCGUACGUGGAAGGUCAUGAGGGCGGGACCCUCGUACGUGGAAGGUCAUGAGGGCGGAACCCUGGUACAUGAAAUUCGUUCUCUUAUUUAAGAGACAAAGAACGCCCUUGUUUUUUCCACCACGUGAUGGCGCAGACAGAAGACAACCAGCAUCUAUGAACCAGGAAGCCCCCACCAGGCACUGAAUCUGCCCCUGCGUGGAUCUUAGACUUGCAGACUCCAGAACUCAACAUGGAUAUAGCUAGAGGCCGUUAUCCUAAGUAACUUAACAAAGGAACAGAAAACCAAACACUGCAUGUUCUCACUUAUAAGAGGGAGGUAACCAUUGGGCAUUCAGAGCUGUAAAGAUGGGAAUAAGAACCUUACAAUGUCUCUUCUCCAUUAAGAAAACCUACUUCAACAUCUCCAUUGGUUCUCAACAUAGAGGUCCAAAUUUUGGUCUGGAGCCAGAGACAAUAUAGGAUGAAGUUUGAUUUGUUCCAAAACCCACAGAAAUCUCUAAAAUGGAAGAAUUUUCUUAGAACCAAAAGGCAUGGAAUUGAUGACAUGAAACUGCCUGAGCUUCUCAGCUGACCUGUGAUGGAGUGUUGUGCCCAAGUGGAAAGUUCUUCUUUCUUUCAGAGACAUAUCAUUCACCAUAAAAUACAACCAGAGACUUCAAAAUUACUCCAGGCUAGAAGGACACUCCAAUUAGGGGAAAAGUAACCUAUGGGCAAACCAUCUUCCGUAAGAGUUCAAGGACAAAAAACUACUGAUGUUGUAAUAACAUUGAAACUUAAUGUUUUGGGCAAUCCUUAAGUGAUUUAUUUGGAGUGUCCCAGUCAUUUUAGACCUCUUCACCUUACAAUGUAUUGUGUGAGAUUAUAUUUCCAUGCACCUAAUUUUAAAAUAAAUUUAUUUAGGUAGAUGUAGAGACAUAUUACUGUGAUAAAGCAGUUCAUACCAAAUAAAAUUUAGCUAA